rnacentral:piRNA from 1 species
UCCCCGGCAUCUCCAAGCAGCCGCCAAUGG